UAGCUGCUAUGCCAGCAGCUCUCUACCACAAAAAAUCAACGAUAAAAAGCUGGGUCUGUGAACGAUGAUGAACGAAUAUAAAAACGGCGUGGUCGCCAUUUAUUUUAUUUUCAUAUUAUUAUUGUUGUUGUAUUUGUGCCAUACGUAAAAAAAAAUAAUAAUAAAAAGAAGAAGCAGCAGCAGUACUAGUAGAAACAUAAAGAAGAAGAAACGACAACAACAACAACAAAAUAGCCUUUGAAAAAAAAAAAAGCACAGAGGAUGAUGAUGAAUAAGAGGAGAAGAGCUUUAAGGUGUUGACAACGGUGUGAGGAGUGUGUAAGAGAGGUUAAGGCAAAGAAAAAUUAUAAAAAAAAA